rnacentral:sRNA from 1 species
AUUUAAACCCGAUGGAAACGGCAGCUCCGAAUUUUUUAUGAGGACUAUAGUGCACAGCGGGGCCGAAG